rnacentral:lncRNA from 1 species
AGUUUUCCCCCAGGCUGUGGCCCCCGGCACCCAGCCCCGGGCUUGGUACACAGUGGGAACUUGAUACCUAUUUGUUCAAUGAAUAAUGAACACGGCAUAUGAAACCUAUUAGGUGAUUUUGGCCUUGGGUCUCAUUUGGGGAACUCACAUAAACUGCAUCCAACAGAGCGUCUGCUACCCACCUGGUCCUGGCUGGCAGAGAAGCUGUAGCACUGAAGCUUUUGGCAGGCAGUUUCAUCAAAAAUCUUGGCUGUUUCGAAUAUAUGUCCAGCCAGUCUGAAGACAAGCACUAAUACCUUCCUGCCUUUUGAAAAGCAAAACUCACUGGAAACACAAUGUCUCCGUGGUAAGAGCCAAAUACUCUGCUAGGCACAAAGCUCUGAGAAUCAAGGCAGCUUUUUAAGCUUUUCAAUGAGGAAACUAAGUGUAAACUGUGUAUACAGCAAAAAAAAAAAAAAAAAAAAAAAAAAAUGUCCUUUAAUGUUGACAGAAGUCACUUUCUGGAGCUUGUUCCUAUUGUAUUUCCAUGUCUUCAUCCUGCUAACUCUCCGAUGCCUUUUUUUUUUUCCUUCAAAAAGAUAACAUUCCCAGUACAGUGGUGUACAGUUAGGAAAAGUUUAUUUUGCGCGCUUCCAGCAUCAGCAUCAAAGUCAAUGGCAUUUUCUACCAAGGAACAUCAGCUCCGAAUUAUCUUUGUCUAGAUUAUCUAGUGUUUGUUUUUUCCAGAUUUUCUUCUCCAAAACUCAGCCUGUCACAAAACAUCUUCAGCUUCCAUUGGCUGCUGUAGCCUAGUUAAUUUUUUUUUUCUCCAAGAGAAGGAAAAUUGACUCGGAGAUUAGCUUAACUAAAACACGGGGUAGGUUGCUCUAAAGAAAAGUGAAUUUCACUGGGUCACAAGAAAAAGAGAGGAAUAACUUUGGAGGCUCUAUUACUAUUAUAUUAUUGAUACUAUUGAUAUUAUUGUUAUUAUUACAACUACCAUCACGAUUACUCCUAUUCGUAUUUGGCUCUGUGACCCUUUAAGACAGAUCUCACCUUUUCUCUUUCUGUAACAUCCAGCUGAGCCAAGCAUCGUUUUGGAACUCUUUUUUGAGUUAAUUCAGAAGCCAUAAUUUUCUCCGAAUGCUGAGAAAUGAUUUGGAAUGAGGCCAUUUCACAGCACUGCAAGGUUGGAAGAGCUCCUUCCAGUUUACCUCAUUCAACCACCAUCAGUUUUUCUGGUCUCCUAACGUUGCUGCCGAGAGGGUGGUCUGGCCCCUGAUGGAACGCUUUGGGAUGGUCUGGUCUCUGAAACACUAGGAGGGCCUCGCUUUGAUCAUCGUUCACCUCAUUCCUGAAGCCACUGUAAUUGCUCUGUGGUUGGGUGGCCGAACACUCCAAGGGGGUGUAGGUAAGACUUGGGACAGGCCAGCCAAAUCCACCUGCACACAUUCAAUUCGCUGUGGCUGGCAGGAGUCCAGCCUAGAUACCAUUCAUACGAACAGGAGUCUUUUUGAAUUCGAGUCUUAUCUCCAGAAGCCAGUGAGAACAUCCAUUGUUCUCCUGCUGCAAGUUAACAGCUCUGCAUACUUUAGAAGCAAUGAGCCUAAACAAAAAGGAAUUUUCUUCCAGUGGUUUGUGUUGGAGCCAGUAGGAGCUAUGGAGUGCAUGCCGGGUGCAGAAGGAUUGAACGGAUUUUAGAAAAAUCUGUGGCUUAUUACUUAUUGUGUUACCCUGAGCCCCUCAACCAUGCCAGUACUAACCUUUAGCUAGUGCUAACGGUUAGGCAAGGUAGGAUUUCUUUGCUUAACCAACAGCUCAAGCUUAAUAACUGCCAUGACAAAUAACUUUGCUCUAGUCUACUAAUUACUAAAAGGAAUGGCUAGCUGUCUCCUAUUUUCUUUUAAUCGCUCUGUUUCUCAUGUAAUUAACCUAUUAAACAGCUACGUUUACCUCUAACAGGAUGCGGUCAUUUGAGGAAUCAUGUCUUGAGGUGAAACAAAUCCUCCUUCAUUUCUUGCUGUGUUACAGCUCACUGGUCAGAAUUACAAAGAGGGGCAUUUACAAGUAAGAACACUGGAUUCCCUGUUGUGGCUCAGUGGGUUAAGAACCCAAGCUAGUAUCCGUGAGGAUGCAGGUUCAAGCCCUGGCCCCGCUCCGUGGGUUAAGGAUCUGGUGGUGCCAUGAGCUGUGGUGUAGGUCUGAAGCUGUAGCUCUGACUCCACUCCCAGCUCCAGAACUUCCACAUGCCACAGGUGUGGCCCUAAAAAGAAAAAAAAAAGGGGGGGGGACUAAGAACACUGAUGACUGAUCAGCCACUGAAGCUGUCUUUGGGAAGACGGAAGUCUGGGAACUCCUAGCUACUCAGGGCAGAGUUUAAGUCUGGUGGUCUCUGAGCAGGACCACAGAAUCACAGGCUUUGCCGAAAGUUCGAUGCCGGGUGUGAACAGCAGCCUCAUGACUCAUUCAAGGGUGAGCUGGAAUGGGGUGAUCCAGGCAGAAGACUUUUCAAGAGAAGCAAAACUGUAGCCAAAUGACUAGCAGGGCCCAGGAGUGCUGGGGAAACCCAGCUGUCUGUUAGACUUCCCUUCCCCUGCCCCACCACCCUGAAAAAAAAAGGGCUUGUUUGUUCAAAAGGCUCCAGGCAGUGAGUUUACAUACAGGAUUGGACACAUCUGGAAGAUGCAAUUACUGGGCCUGCAAUUAGUAAGCUUGGUACCCACACACAUGGAGAAGGUGCAUCUCCUGUUCUUACACCUCUGGGAGAGUCUGGCCUUUAAACCUUAGGUCUUCUUUUGUCAUUUAGGAAAAUUGGUAACCAUUCAAUUGUUCAUUGGAAGUGAGUUCUCCUUGUGGGGAUGGAAUGCGGCUACCCGGGAGAUGAUUUCAUUCGAUCAGACCCAGAAGUCGCCAAGCCUCCCAAAGAUGAUUUCUUUAGACACAGAAUGUUCUAUGAGUCUGUGCUUUGACUGCAGAGCCCUAUCAGGUGAAUAAUUAUACUGUAACUGUGUUUCAGACAAUGCUAGUGACGAGCGAAGCAAUUUCUGUUUUGAAAUGUUACCUUAUGGGUGAAAGUCCACUGAUCAUCCUUCUGGAAGAUUAAAAGAAAACAGAACUCAGAAGUUUUUAUAUGUGUGUGUGUAUAAAUUCCACCAUUUAAUCUAUGUAGAAAUGAAUGUAAUUAUAUAAUUAUAGAUAUGCAAUUAUAGAAAUUUACAUACAUUUCAGAAAGUCUCCGUCUAGAUAAAUUUAGAUAAAUCUCAAUCUAGAUAUGCUUAUUAUUUGACUGCCUGGACUUGAAGGGGGAAACUUUUAUGAAAAAAAAAAAAAAAA